rnacentral:rRNA from 1 species
CAGUCGCCGCGGUAAUACGUAGGUGGCAAGCGUUGUCCGGAAUUAUUGGGCGUAAAGGGCUCGCAGGCGGUUUCUUAAGUCUGAUGUGAAAGCCCCCGGCUCAACCGGGGAGGGUCAUUGGAAACUGGGAAACUUGAGUGCAGAAGAGGAGAGUGGAAUUCCACGUGUAGCGGUGAAAUGCGUAGAGAUGUGGAGGAACACCAGUGGCGAAGGCGACUCUCUGGUCUAUAACUGACGCUGAGGAGCGAAAGCGUGGGGAGCGAACAGGAUUAGAUACCCCAGUAGUCCCUGUCUCUUAUAC